AAGAGGGAACCCGGUGGGAAUCCGGGACUGCCCCGCAGCGGUGAGCGGGAACGACCGCCGUCAUACGCACUGGGCCCGACGCACGGGGCCCGGGAAGCGACGGCCAGUAGGUGCCUCGUACGGCAUCCGCCAGGAUCCGUACGGCACGAGGCGCGCCCGCGAGUCCGAAGACCU
rnacentral:ncRNA from 2 species